GCUUCCUGUAAACAAAAAGGCACCGCGUACAGUUUUUUUUUUCAGUUGCGUUGGCGCGGAGGAGCGCUUUGUGCGCCGCGUAGCGAUCGGAUCACGGCGAGUCGAAAGGAAGAUGACCGGAGCAAGCCCUGGAUUCAUGGUGUUGCGUGCCAGCAGCUUGCGCACAACGUGUUUGUGGAAAUGCCUGAGCCACGAAGAUGAGUCCUUUCUCAAGGAAUCUUUGUUCCAAUAGUUAUACAGGGAUCAGUUUGAGCAGCAACUUUGCCAUCCUAGCCAUGGAGAUGAUUGCUCCAGCGGAUGCAGGGGAUCAACUGAAGGCCUGAAGCCUUUGUGCGCUCUGUUCUGCGGAAGGUGUGCUCAGUAUUUAUGUUCACCGCUCUUUUUUAUUACCAGUAGUUUCUCUGAAGCCUUGUAGGAGUACUUCGUUUUGCUUUGUUGAAUGUUGUUUAAAUUGCCUUGGAGUUAAGACCAGGUUAGAAUGAGUUUCCAGUAUCCUGUUACUCAGAAGUCAUAAUUUAACAAUGCACCUUCACCA